GACAGAGGGUGCAAACGUUGUUCGGAAUUACUGGGCGUAAAGCGCGUGUAGGCUGCUCGGAAAGUCGGAUGUGAAAGCCCCGGGCUUAACCUAGGAAGUGCAUUCGAAACUUCCGAGCUGGAGUUCUGGAGAGGAAGGCGGAAUUCUCGGUGUAGAGGUGAAAUUCGUAGAUAUCGAGAGGAACACCGGUGGCGAAGGCGGCCUUCUGGACAGUGACUGACGCUGAGACGCGAAAGCGUGGGGAGCAAACAGG
rnacentral:rRNA from 1 species